rnacentral:lncRNA from 1 species
GAGAGAGCGGCGGCGCUAGGCGGGAGGACGCGCGGGAGGCAGAGGGGCUGGGAGAGCUUAGCCCGGGCCACCGAGCGCCAGCACGUCACGACUGCUCCAAACCCUGCACGUCCCGGGAGCUGCGCUUUCUGCGUCUGGGAGCGCCGACCUGUCGCAACCCAAGAGCUGUCAUUUCCGCACCGGGAUUCGGAGGGAUGGAUCGCCCGCCACGAAGGGGGCUGGUCUCGGUCCCCGAACUGCUCUGUCCCCGGGUGGAACAAUGCUAGUUUUUCUCUGCUAGGCUGCAAUUAACAUCUUACUUGUUCUGGCUGAUACAGGCUUUGUCGGGACCGCGGUGCGGCGACCGAGGUUGGGCUAGCGCGUUGCUUUCUGCAUGGCAAUGGGAUCGUGAUUGUGGGGUCUAAACUUUUGUUUUGUUAAUCCAUCCGAUUCUUUUUCGAGUUUCCCUAGUAACGGUUUGGGGACGGGAGUGAGAAGGGAGGAGGGAAAAGGGGAGGAGAAGGUACCAGAUUCUCGAUUUUGCAGGGAAAGAGAGAUAAAUUUCCAUUACUCCCCACCUUGAUUUUCUUGCCUCCUGGGUAGUUGGCUGACAACUAUUUGAUGAUGUAGCUUCCAAUUCUUGCUGCAAAAGGUCAUUCGCCUACCGCUUAUGUUUCUACUUGUAAACGCAGUUGGUGGCUUGCAAAACAGGUGCUAAAUUAGUGCGUUGAUGUGGUUGGAAGAGACCAUACUGGCUAAUUCGCGUUAAGUGUCCGAUCUUUACUCCCAAGGGUGAGUGGCUUGCGCGGCAGGUGAAGUUGAAUAAAACAUUUUUCCAUCAUUUUCUCUCCCUACUUUCUCUGCAUUUUUUCUUCCUCUUGUUCCUCACCCCUGGGGCGAUUGGAUAGCCCAGAACGUCGUUUUAAAAGAGGAUUAUAGUGAAAACAGGAAGAUGCCAGUGAUUUUUUUAUUCACAGAAGUUGCUUGAAAUAUUAAAAUUGGCUCUUUACUGCUUAAUACAUAUGAAUAGGGUGACCCUCUUUAAGGCUUGCUCUUCUGGGACAAGUGUAGAGAAUAACACGCUGUAAGGGAAACAGUUAAUCAUUCCCAACCAGCAGGUUUUAACUAUGUUCCAAGAAAAUUCACUGCUGAGAGAGCCGCCUGGGUGGCGUUUUGGUUUUGUGCCAUUUUUGGUUCAUUCUGAUAUUUUUUAUUCAUUUAAGAGAAUGUGAAAGGAAAAUAGGGUUUACGUCCAGGGCAUAAUCCAAAACAUUAUAUCUUCAGCAACACAUUUUCUUUUAAAAACAAACAAUAUUCAGCAAUACAAAGAAGAAGCACAUUUCAUUUAUUCCCACUUCUUCAAAGAUUGUGAUUAUGAUAUUUACAAGACAUUUAAUCAGUACUGUUAUUUGCCAGAAGCAAAAAUAAAGGAACUAAU